AUUGAACGCUGGCGGCAGGCCUAACACAUGCAAGUCGAACGAGUGGCGGACGGGUGCGUAAUGUCUGGGAAACUGCCCGAUGGAGGGCGAUAACUACUGGAAACGGUAGCUCAUACCGCAUACCAUCGGAUGUGCCCUGAUGGGAUUAGCUAGUAGGUGGGGCAACGGCUCACCAAGGCGACGAUCCCUAGCUGGUCUGAGAGGAGGACCAGCCAGGCUGGAACUGAGACACGGUCCAGACUCCUACGGGAGGCAGCAGUGGGGAAUAUUGCACAAUGGGCGCAAGCCUGAUGCAGCCAUGCCGCGUGUAUGAAGAAGGCCUUCGGGUUGUAAAGUACUUUCAGCGAGGAGGGGUUACUCGCAGAAGAAGCACCGGCUAACUCCGGGCCAGCCGCCGCGGUAAUUC
rnacentral:rRNA from 1 species